GGAAAGUUUGCCUUUUUUAAUUGAGUUUCAGAAUCCUGUCUUGAUUAUAUGACAUAAUAAUAGUGGCUUUCCUAUUCAUCUGUGUAAUAUUGUUUUCUCACUGUGGUGGUUACUUUUGUUGAAGGGGAAGGCCUACUGCCUUAGAUAAAUAAGAGAAAAGCAGAAAGCUCCUCACGGCACUGGUUCCCCAACUAGAAAAUGCCAAGUCCUGACUUACACAUCAAGAGGGUGAGGGUUGCCAAUCAAGGACUUAUCCAAGUUCAAUGCAGUUUAAGAAUCUUGGCUUUGAUGGUAAAGUGGAUUAACUUUUCCGUGUAUCUUCAAGCCCCAGUAUCCCAAGAAAUGUUUGCCAUCACAAUGAAAGCUACGGAGGAGGAGGUUGCAGGCCCUGGCAGCCAUUGGCCAAAGACCGGCUGGGGGAUCCGCAAGGGCUUCCAACUCUCCGAACCGAGCGGGAUUCCUGGCCUUGGCAUAAAGGGCUGAGUGGAUUCAUUCGGGGCGCGAUGCAUUCCAAGAAUGCUUCUGUGGUUGGCAAGGAGUAGGAAAAUCAAGGAUAACAAAUAUUCUAAGGAAAUCUAAUAGGUACCAGGAGCGUAGGACUCAAAUAAACAGGUGACUUAAAGUACGAAGUAACUGGAUCUCAGUGAGGGUGACCGCACACUGCCCAGGGCUGGGGCAUCUCCUUUUUCUCUCCUGGGCUGACACCCGGCCGCCUUUACAGACA
ensembl:lncRNA